AAUUACGGCCACAGCAACCCCAAAACACUCUUUCCCGUUCGAUCAAGAAAGUUAAGGGGGUUAGCGAGCACUCAGUACCAUGGUCGGGGACGACAUGGGAAUCGUGACUUGCCGUAAUU
rnacentral:rRNA from 1 species